GCUUGGCAAAUUCUUAAUCAGUU
rnacentral:snRNA from 1 species